GAUUAAGAAUUUUAUUAUGAAUUGAUUUUUAAAAGGAAUUAUGUGUUUUAGUAGUUAGGUAGAAAUAAUAAUUUUUAUAAUAGUUUAGUAGUACAGUGAGGUAAAAAUAGAAAAUAUUUAGAAGAAUAUUUUAUUUAAAGUACCUUUUGUAUCAGGGUUUAUUAAAAAGAGGUUUAAUUAUUAAGUUUUCUCGAAUUUAUGAGAGCUAAGAAUAUAUAUAUAUUAAUGUUGAAUAAUUAUUUAUAAUAUUUUCUUUGUUAUUAGACGUUAGUCGAUUUUAAAUAUAUCUAGUUUUUUAAGAAAUUAAUUUAAUUGGGCUAGUUUAAUAAAUUGUUUUAUUUUAGAAUUAAUUUUUAAACUAAGUAAUAUCUAAGGGGAUAAGCUUUUGGAUAAAUUUUUAUAAAUGUUUAUUUGUUAAAAAUUGAAUAGGAAUAGAAGUUUUCAUUUUUUAUAGUGUUUUAUAUCAAGAUUUUUAAAAAAGUAAUUUGGUUUUUUUUAAAUUUUUUAUUAGAAUUUUAGAUUUAAUUAAAAAGUUUAAGUAAUAAUGAUAAAAUUAGUAUAAUUUUAUGUAUAAUAAAUUUAAUAAUGGGAGAUUUAAUUAAGUAAUUCGGCAAAUUUAUUUUCUGCCUGUUUAUUAAAAACAUGGCUUUUUGUUAAUAAUUUAAAGUCUGGCCUGCCCAAUGAUUUGUUUAAAUGGCCGCGGUACUUUGACCGUGCAAAGGUAGCAUAAUCAUUAGUUUUUUAAUUGAAAGCUGGUAUGAACGGUCGGACAAGAAAAUUACUGUCUCAAUUAGAUAGUUUUAGAAUUUUAUUUUUUAGUAAGAAAGCUAAAAUGGAUUUAAGGGACGAGAAGACCCUAUAGAAUUUUAUAAAUUUUAAAGGGUUGGAUUUUUAGUUUAGUUAUUUUGGUUUUAUAAAAUUUAUUUUGUUGGGGUGAUGAAAAAAUUUGAUAAACUUUUUUUUAUUAAUUCACUUAUUUGUGUUUAGAUGAUCCAUAAAUAGUGAUUAUAAGAUUAAAUUACCUUAGGGAUAACAGCGUAAUUGGUUUGGAGAGUUCAAAUCGAUAAACUAGUUUGCGACCUCGAUGUUGGAUUAAAAUAAACUUUUGGUGUAGGUGCUGAAAAGUUAAGUCUGUUCGACUUUUAAAAUUUUACAUGAUCUGAGUUUAAACCGGCGUGAGCCAGGUUGGUUUCUAUCUUUAGAAAAUUUUAAUAUUUUAGUACGAAAGGACCAAGUAUUAAUUUAAUAAAUUUAAUUUGAAUAUUAGU
rnacentral:rRNA from 1 species